rnacentral:rRNA from 1 species
GCGUGAGUGAAGAAGGCCUUCGGGUUGUAAAGCGUCUUUCGGCUGGGAAGAAAUCGCAUCUCCGUAAUACGGGGGUGUGGAUGACGGUACCAGCAUAAGAAGCACCGGCUAACUACGUGCCAGCAGCCGCGGUAAUACGUAGGGUGCGAGCGUUAAUCGGAAUUACUGGGCGUAAAGCGUGCGCAGGCGGUUUCGUAAGACAGAGGUGAAAUCCCCGGGCUCAACCUGGGAACUGCCUUUGUGACUGCGAGGCUAGAGUAUGGCAGAGGGGGGUGGAAUUCCACGUGUAGCAGUGAAAUGCGUAGAGAUGUGGAGGAACACCGAUGGCGAAGGCAGCCCCCUGGGCCAAUACUGACGCUCAUGCACGAAAGCGUGGGGAGCAAACAGGAUUAGAUACCCUGGUAGUCCACGCCCUAAACGAUGUCAACUAGGUGUUGGGUGGGUUAAACCAUUUAGUACCGUAGCUAACGCGUGAAGUUGACCGCCUGGGGAGUACGGCCGCAAGGUUAAAACUCAAAGGAAUUGACGGGGA